GGACGAGUAGCUCAGUGGUAGAGCAUCUCACCAUUGUCCGGUAGGCCCUUGAGCCCAACAUGCAAUCGAGGCGUCCUCAGUUCGAUCCUGAGCUUGUCCA